CCAGCGAACUUGGCAGAGAUGCCUUGGUGCCUUCGGGAGCGCUGAGACAGGUGCUGCAUGGCUGUCGUCAGCUCGUGUUGUGAAAUGUUGGGUUAAGUCCCGNAACGAGCGCAACCCUUAUCCUUUGUUGCCAGCGAUUCGGUCGGGAACUCAAAGGAGACUGCCGGUGAUAAACCGGAGGAAGGUGGGGAUGACGUCAAGUCAUCAUGGCCCUUACGAGUAGGGCUACACACGUGCUACAAUGGCGCAUACAAAGAGAAGCGACCUCGCGAGAGCAAGCGGACCUCAUAAAGUGCGUCGUAGUCCGGAUCGGAGUCUGCAACUCGACUCCGUGAAGUCGGAAUCGCUAGUAAUCGUGGAUCAGAAUGCCACGGUGAAUACGUUCCCGGGCCUUGUACACACCGCCCGUCACACCAUGGGAGUGGGUUGCAAAAGAAGUAGGUAGCUUAACCUCCGGGAGGGCGCUUACCACUUUGUGAUUCAUGACUGGGGUGAAGUCGUAACAAGGUAGGCGUAGUGCU
rnacentral:rRNA from 1 species